GCCCAGCCGUCAAGCCGCGCAGGCGACCCCUCUCGCAAGGGGCGUCUCGCACUUUUAUACAAGGUUGACCUCGGAUCAGGUAGGACUACCCGCUGAACUUAAGCAUAUCAAUA
rnacentral:rRNA from 1 species